CUCCAUCUCAUUACUUGUUAUUUAUUUUAUCCUAAGUUACUGCAAGUACAUACCUAUCUUUUUGCAAGAGUUUGUAUAAUUCCAAAACCCAACUAAUAACUCUCGAUCACCAUCAUCUUUGGUUUUAUUUAAUUGUUAAAUUAUGGAAACCAUGUCGUCCAAUACAUGUCAAGACUUGAGGUAUUUAGAAUAAGCCUUCCACACUCCAACCUCUAAAUAUCAUUUUCUGUUCUCUCGGUUCUAUACACCCAAAUCCUAGCCCCACAUUCAACUUUUCUAAAAACCCACACCCACAGCUCGUUCUCUCCCUCUCGCGUUUUUUUUUCUGGCGGCCGGAGCUCUAGCCGGAGCACGACGGAGCCGGCAACAACGAUAGCAGCGGCGGCGGAUGUUGUUUUUCCGGCCAUUUUUUUUCCGGUGACACGCACUCACACCCACUUCCUAUGUAGAAAGAGAUAGAUCAGAAGAGACGAGAGAGAGACCUGUUGAAGAAAGAGAGAGAUGUGGCGGCGAUGAUGGUGCUUUUGGUCCGACUGGUUUGACGGUUGGUGACGGUUCGGUUUUGGGUUCGGAUUAACUCGGGUUUCGGUUCGGUUCGAGGGUAGUUCGGUCAAACCUGGUCAACACAGUGAGCUGACUUGGUCAACUCAACCGGUCAACUCAGUUGACCCGGUCAACUCAGCCACCUUCUUUUUCGGCGUUUCGACAUGAAGAUUCGGAAUACUAUAGUUGCACGCUAGCGAUUCACGUUCUUGGAACGGCACUACGGAAACACGCUAGGCUAGCUUUGCACAGGAAUGUCAAGGUUGCAUUUUAAAAACUAAGGAACGGUUGGAAUAGGAGAACCCAUGGAAAUUCGAGUACCUAGCAGGCGUUCACUGUUUAAAAGUCUUAGCCUUUUGCUUCCGCUGUGCAAUGAAGAUAGCGGUCCAGUCACGCCAGCUCUGAUAUUUCGGGGUGUGACAGUUCAUAAGAUCCAUAAAGACCA